rnacentral:lncRNA from 1 species
AAAAACUCCCCUGUGGUUUCGUGCAUUCUCACUUUGCUACCCUGUGGUUUAAAACGUGUCAAUUUGCCCCCCCGUGGUUUCGUUUUUAUUUUUUUGUUAUCAAUUUUAUUAUUAUUAUUUUUUUAAAUCAGUGACAAAGUUAAAAUUAAAGGAUACUAAAGUGACUAUUCGAUAAAUAUAGAUGGUUAUCUGAAGUUUUUUGUAUAUAAUUUAACGAAAUAUUAACGAAAAAGCUUCCGAAAAGAUAAAAAUGAAACCACAGGGGGGUAAGUUGAUACGUUUUAAACCACAGGGUAGCAAAGUGAGAAUGCACGAAACCACAGGGGGGGUUUUUGAAGUUUUCCCUAAAUUUUAUUGUGUUAUAUAUGUGAUGGUGAAAAAGAUAUAUUUUUUAUUUAAAAAGUGAUUAUAAAGAUUAAUUUAUUUUUUAUUAAAAAAAUGCUCCCUACAACUGAAAUUACAAUCAAUUUGAACGUACUUACAAUUACUGUAGUUGAGCUUCCUCGAACAGCUUCAACUUUCCGCAACAACAGUUAAAUUUAAUAUACAUUAAAUUAAAUACUAUAUUUAGAAAUAUAUGCAGCCAAAUAGCCUGGUAGAAAAACCCUAUCUCCUAAUGCUGAUCUUUGAAAUCUGCGGAAAUGUAGCUAUCACAUUUAUUAGAAAUUCUUGUCCUUACUAACCUAAAAAAUACGAAAAAGAGUAACCCCAGAAUAAAUUUCAAAAAAAAACAAAAAAAAACAAAAAAAACAAACAAAAAUGAGACCAUCCUACAUAGAUGACAACUUGAGUGUAUGUCACAAUUCCAUAUUUUCAUGCUUAUUGUUUACGUAAAACCUUGACAAAGUGCGAAGAUGCGUCGGAUCCAUGUCAUCGGAUGUUGAUCGAUAACCCACUCGGGCACGGUUCACGACCCAAUUAAACCGCACGAGGAUUUGGACCAAAUCCUCUCGCAUGGUGAUGAUCUUCACGUUGAUUGAUUUUACCCGGUUCGAUUAGUUUCAAUGAAGCUGCAUGUAAUUCGACCGUAAAUCAAGUUUAUUAAAAAAAAUAUAUAUUAAUCUCUUUAUUCAUCGUGAACGACACGCUUACAUUCUCGAAAAUAAAUUAUAAAAACAUAAAUUAAUGCAGCCGAAUUAUGAUUACAUCAAUCAAAAUAUUCGUUUAUAAGUUUUUUCUUGGUAAAAUUAUUUUCUUUGUAGAGAAAAGAGGAAGAACAAGAAGGGCGAGAAAAAUGAUGUUUCGUAUUAUUUUAAUUAUAUUUUCUCUCAAAAUGAAGAGAAAUAAAAUUAUUUUUUUUAGGAGAAAAACUUAUUCUAUUCGCUCUCUUAUUUUCUGUAUUUAAACAGGAUUAGUAAAACAAUUAAUGAUCUAUUGUGCCGUGCACUUUAAAAUAAAAAAAUAAAACAAUAAAUAGAUCUACAUAAUUAAGAAGAGUAAUUCUUGAUUCAUUAAAUAUCAAUCAUUACGUGAAUGUAAUCAACACAAUAUCUUUUUUGGAUUUUUCUAAUAAAGAGCUAAUCAAGCAAUAAAUUUGUUGCUAGGAUUUCAAAUGUUAAAGGAGGGAGGUAAUUAAAUAUUUUUUUAUAUCAAUUAUUUAUUGUUAAUUUUCGUAUAUAUAUGAAUUUAAUUAAGAGCUCUGCUACUAAUACAGUCCAAAAGGAGGUACAGAUACAUUCUAUACACCACGCGCCUUAUAUAUGAUGAUUAAUGUCCUAAAAACAAAGUCCAAUUCAAUAAAUAUAAUUAAUUAAUAUUAUCUAAGUAUUUAUGCAUAAGAAAUAUUAUAUAUUUUGUGAAUAUUAUUUGGACAUCAUAUAGCUAAAAAUCAAUAAUAGAGCAAGAGUGAUUAUUAAAUUUGUGAGAAAUCAAUGCCAACAAUUUUUAAUUUUUAAUAUAUAGAUAUUUUAAAUAUUUUAAAGUAAAUUAGAUUUUAGUUUUGACAUUUUUAUAAU